AGGCACUACAUUGGGGGUGACUGCAGAGCUGAAUGGCAGGAAGUCAAGAGAGUGUCCAGCGCUCACACUCUGCAGAGGUGAUAUAAGCCGCACUAACUGUGGUCUGGAGUCCCCUGCUCACACAUCUCCUCUCCUGGGGCACCAUGAAAAAUUAAUUUGGAUAAUAAUAUCUACUUUGAGAUUCCUCCUAUUCUGCCUUCUCUUUGAUGGAGGCUUCAUGGCAGAGGACAACUGCUGGCAGAUUGUGUCUGACUCCUAGUUCUGAAGCUGUAAACUCAAGAGGAUUUGUCAGUUGGUCCAUUCCACCACAGUGUCUUCUACUUUUGGAGCUCCUGGAUUUUCCGCCUGUUGAUCGCCAUGGCUGUGUUUGUGUCUAUUCAUUUUGGGACCCACCUGCUACUUGUCUCCAAGAAACAAAAUUAAGAUCUCAGUCAAAGCUCCUGUGGGGACUGGAUGACUCAGAACAGUCAGGAGAUGGGAUAUGGAGCUUUUCAUCUCUUGGUCCCCAGUUUCACUGUAGCCCCAGGUCAGGAAGUCUGAGCAGCUCAGUAUGAUUACAGAAUGGAAUAUGAUUGGUCCUGCUUUGAGCAGGGGGUUGGACUAGAUGACCUCCUGAGGUCCCUUCCAACUCUGAUAUUCUAUG